rnacentral:lncRNA from 1 species
GGAAAAUUAAUAAACUAACACCACAUUGAUGCAACAAAUAAACCCCUUUCAAUUUAACCACUUUCCUACAAAACAAACAUGAUCCAAUACUCUAAUAUAUAUACAUAAAACCCUCAUUACUAAAAUUUAAAAAGAUGAAGAAACAAAAUUCUUAUGAUUAAGAAACUGCCACCCUAUGAUCAUUAUUUUGGGGACAAUUCGUUUGACAAAACCUGGUGGGUUUAUUCGGCUGAAAAUUCCUUCUCCUUUGAAGAUCAUGGCUUGCUGGCUUGAUGAUCCGCAUUAAAAAUGGCUUUAUAAGAUUGGUUUUUGAUGCCGUAUUCAACAUCAUCAUCUUCUUCUCAUUAUUGUUCUUUGAGUCCAUUUUGUUGAUGUGGGCAGCUGUUGACUUAGUUGCUGAAACUUUCCGGUACCCGCCGCGGUGGAGGCCACAGCGAAACGAGCCCGGGUGGGUGGAGGGAGAGCAGAGACAUGUACGGGCUGUUGAAGAUGAAGAAGAUGAGUUUUUGGUUGCCAUUGAUGCGCAUGUGUUCUUUUGUGAGUGCUUCUGUUUGUUUUGUUUGAAUUUUCUUUUGUU